rnacentral:rRNA from 1 species
AGAGUUUGAUCAUGGCUCAGAUUGAACGCUGGCGGCAUGCUUUACACAUGCAAGUCGAGCGGCAGCGNNNGGCAACCUGGCGGCGAGCGGCGGACGGGUGAGUAAUACAUCGGAACGUAUCCUUGAGUGGGGGACAACCCAGCGAAAGCUGGGCUAAUACCGCAUACGCUCUAAGGAGGAAAGUGGGGGACCUGCAGGGGCCUCACGCUGAAGGGGCGGCCGAUGUCCGAUUAGCUAGUUGGUGGGGUAAAGGCCUACCAAGGCGACGAUCGGUAGCUGGUCUGAGAGGAUGAUCAGCCACACUGGGACUGAGACACGGCCCAGACUCCUACGGGAGGCAGCAGUGGGGAAUUUUGGACAAUGGGGGCAACCCUGAUCCAGCCAUGCCGCGUGCGGGAAGAAGGCCUUCGGGUUGUAAACCGCUUUUGGUCGGGAAGAAAAGGUUUCUCCUAAUAGGGGGGACUGUUGACGGUACCGGCAGAAUAAGCACCGGCUAACUACGUGCCAGCAGCCGCGGUAAUACGUAGGGUGCGAGCGUUAAUCGGAAUUACUGGGCGUAAAGCGUGCGCAGGCGGUUGGUCGUGUCCUGUGUGAAAGCCCCGGGCUUAACCUGGGAAUGGCAUGGGAGUACUGGCCGGCUGGAGUGUGGCAGAGGGGGGUGGAAUUCCGCGUGUAGCAGUGAAAUGCGUAGAGAUGCGGAGGAACACCGAUGGCGAAGGCAGCCCCCUGGGCUGACACUGACGCUCAGGCACGAAAGCGUGGGGAGCAAACAGGAUUAGAUACCCUAGUAGUCC